rnacentral:rRNA from 1 species
UACGUAGGGGUGCGAGCGUUUGUCCGGAAUUAUUGGGCGUAAAGGGCUCGUAGGCGGUUUUGUCGCGUCGGGAGUGAAAUCCACUGGCUUAACUGGUGGCUUGCUUUCGAUACGGGCAGACUGGAGGUAUGCAGGGGAGAACGGAAUUCCCGGUGUAGCGGUGAAAUGCGCAGAUAUCGGGAAGAACACCUAUGGCGAAGGCAGCUCUCUGGGGACGGUACUGACGCUGAGACGCGAAAGCGUGGGGAGCGAACAGG